GUCUUCCUCACUUGUCACCUGCUUUUAUCAAAAGUCCAGGCCAUUAUCCAGCAAACACUAUAAAAAUGUUUGAACAGUUGGAUUUCAAACAUUUUCAUUUUGUGGAGUGGUGCUUACCAAUUUGGUAGAGCUCUAAGCGAGAAAAUA
rnacentral:lncRNA from 1 species